UACGGGGGGGGCAAGCGUUGUUCGGAAUUACUGGGCGUAAAGGGCUCGUAGGUGGCCAACUAAGUCAGACGUGAAAUCCCUCGGCUUAACCGGGGAACUGCGUCUGAUACUGGAUGGCUUGAGUUCGGGAGAGGGAUGCGGAAUUCCAGGUGUAGCGGUGAAAUGCGUAGAUAUCUGGAGGAACACCGGUGGCGAAGGCGGCAUCCUGGACGGAUACUGACGCUGAGGUGCGAAAGCGUGGGGAGCGAACAGG
rnacentral:rRNA from 1 species